rnacentral:rRNA from 1 species
GUAGUCCGCACGGUAAACGAUGGAUGCCCGCUGUUGGCGCUUUGCGUCAGCGGCUAAGCGAAAGCAUUAAGCAUCCCACCUGGGGAGUACGCCGGCAACGGUGAAACUCAAAGGAAUUGACGGGGGCCCGCACAAGCGGAGGAACAUGUGGUUUAAUUCGAUGAUACGCGAGGAACCUUACCCGGGCUUGAAUUGCAGAGGAAAGAUCCAGAGAUGGUGAUGCCCUUCGGGGCCUCUGUGAAGGUGCUGCAUGGUUGUCGUCAGCUCGUGCCGUGAGGUGUCGGCUUAAGUGCCAUAACGAGCGCAACCCCUUUUUCCGGUUGCCAUCAGGUGAUGCUGGGCACUCCGGGGACACUGCCACCGUAAGGUGUGA